CCAAGCUGCACCCUGACCACCUUAGGCACAUCUUCUUGGGACCUCUUGAGGGCUGUGUCAUGGGCCAUGGUCACUCAUAUUUGGCUCAGAAUAAAUCUCUUCAAAUAUUUUAAAGAGUUUGACUCUUUUCAUCGACAGCAAUUUGGCAUGCAAACACGUGGGGCCUCAGAGAAGACUCAGGACCUUGAAGGAGUUGCCCAACUCAGAGCUAUGGUACUAGCAGGGGUCCACUGAAGCCUCCGCAAGUUGCAGCUUCUCCUCUGGUAAAACUGGAAACAAAAAUCAUGGCAUUUUGAAGACCAGAGAUAUGAAUCUCCUUCAUCUGGCGUCCCACUGGGCUGGAAUCCUUUUCACUGAGAAAGCUCUGCUUCUAAAACUAUACAAGCACCCUCCCUCUAGGCUCAGGGACUGUUGCAGAGAAGGUGGGCCCAUAAGAUAAUAAGGACCAGUUACGAGCGAUAAAAUUAGGUCAAGAUCAAACCUCCAAAUCAAGAAGGGGUACAAAGAUGCCUAAACAACUGGUAAAGCACCUUUAGUUGCCUUCUAAAUGAUUAUGUGUCACUUUUCAUCCACCCCAACUAUAGAGUGUUUUCUGCUUACAAUAGAAUUAAAGGAAAAUAUUUACUAACAGAAUAUAGAUACCUUGUAACAAAGCCUCCUGGAUAUAAUACUCCCAGUCAUGAGUUGUGAAGAUAAAUAUAGAUAUACAGAGAUAUAUACACAUAUUUUAAAUUAUUUUUAGAACAAUGCUUUUGUUUUGUAUAGCUAAUUGCUAUAAGCCUGUAACAAAAAACAAGCUUACAGUAUCUCAACACAUAGAAGUUAAAAAUAAAUCAGUCUUAUAAAUUUGCCUUUUUGUUUUGUUUGUUGGCUUUUUACUUAAAAUAAUAACUUGAAGAGGUAAUGAAUGCCUGUCCACAUCUAUUCCUAUCUGGCCUAGAACAGUUAAUUGGCUGUAAGUGUUUUGACUCUUAAGGCCCUAUGCCUCAGGGAGCCCCACCAAGGGACAGGAUAGACCCAGGGCAGGCAGCCAUGCUGAGAGGUGACAGCGUGCUGGCAGUCCUCGCAGCCCUCGCUUGCUCUCGGUGCCUCCUCUGCCUGGGCUCCCACUUUGGCGGCACUUGAGGAGCCCUUCAGCCCGCCGCUGCACUGUGGGAGCCCCUUCAUGGGCUGGCUGAGGCCGGAGCCGGCUCCCUCAGCUUGCGGGCAGGUGUGGAGGGAGAGGUGCGGGCGGGAACCAGGGCUGCGUGGGCUGCUGGCGGGCCACGGUAGUUCCAGGUG
rnacentral:lncRNA from 10 species